rfam:Capsicum annuum cultivar Zunla-1 chromosome 3, whole genome shotgun sequence
AGGAGCCAAGUGAGAUGAAAGUCUCAUGCAUGGUUUUGAAUGAGAGAAAGAAGUGAGGAAUCCUCUCUGACUCUCC